GAUGAACGCUAGCUACAGGCUUAACACAUGCAAGUCGAGCGGUUUGUGCUUUUGCACAUUCAGCGGCAGACGGGUGAGUAACACGUAUCUAACCUUCCCCUUACUUGGGCAUAGCCUCUGGAAACGGAGAUUAAUUUCCGAUGUGGUGUACAUUUCGCAUGUUUUGCGCACCAAAGAUUUAUCGGUAAGGGAUGGGGAUGCGCUCCAUUAGGUAGUAGGUAGGGUAAUGGCCUACCUAGCCUAUGAUGGAUAGGGGUUCUGAGAGGAAGGUCCCCCACAUUGGAACUGCGACACGGGUCCAAACUCCUACGGGAGGCAGCAGUGAGGAAUAUUGGUCAAUGGCCGGAAGGCUGAACCAGCCAAGUAGCGUGCAGGAAGACUGCCUUAUGGGUUGUAAACUGCUUUUUUACGGGAAUAAUUAUGAUCACGUGUGAUUAUUUGCAUGUACCGUAAGAAUAAGGAUCGGCCAACUCCGUGCCAGCAGCCGCGGUAAAGUC
rnacentral:rRNA from 1 species